rnacentral:rRNA from 1 species
GGACUACACGGGUUUCUAAUCCCGUUCGCUCCCCUAGCUUUCGCGCCUCAGCGUCAGAAGAGAUCCAGCACGUCGCUUUCGCCACCGGCGUUCCUUCCGAUAUCAACGCAUUUCACCGCUCCACCGGAAGUUCCACAUGCCCCUACCUCCCUCGAGGCCGUCAGUAUCAAAGGCAGUUUUCCGGUUGAGCCGAAAGAUUUCACCCCUGACUUGACAGCCCGCCUACGCGCCCUUUAAGCCCAGUGAUUCCGAACAACGUUUGCACGGUUCGUCUUACCGCGGCUGCUGGCAC